UGUAACUACUCACCUGCCGAAGCAACUAGCCCUGAAAAUGGAUGGCGCUGAAGCGAUGUACCUAUACUCGGCCGUCAGUGGCAAUUUCGGGUUUACACGUUUACGUGUGUCCUAUCAAGCCCUGACGAGUACGGUGGACGUAAUGGUGUGCGUAGAAGGGUCUGGGCGUGAGCCUGCCUGGAGCCGCCAUUAGUGCAGAUCUUGGUGGUAGUAGCAAAUACUCGAUAGAGGACCUGGAGGACUGAAGUGGAGCAGGGUUUCGUGUGAACAGCAGUUGCACUCGAGUCAGUCGAUCCUAAGCACUAGGGGAAACCCGAUGUUGAUGGCAGAGGAACUCCUCCUAUCUGUGCGAAAGGGAAUCUGGUUCAUAUUCCAGAACCUGGUAACCGGAACCGCUUCAAAAAUCGGGCUCUCAUUUAUGAGAAUUCGUCGGGGCAACCCAAAAGAACCUGGAGACGCCGUCGAGAGAUCCUGGAAGAGUUUUCUUUUCUGUAUAAGCGUUCGAGUUCCCUGGAAUCCUCUAGCAGGGAGAUAGGGUUUGGAACGCGAAGAGCACUGCAGUUGCAGCAGUGUCGGGAUCUUCUCCUCGGACCUUGAAAAUCCAGGGGAGGGCCACGUCGAGCUUCGGGCCAGAUCGUACCCAUAUCCGCAGCAGGUCUCCAAGGUCAAUAGCCUCUAGUCGAUAGAAUAAUGUAGGUAAGGGAAGUCGGCAAAUUCGAUCCGUAACUUCGGGAAAAGGAUUGGCUCUGAGGAUUGGAGUGUAUCGGGCUCGAUAGGGAAGCGGUCGGCUACUCGUGGGACUGUGUUGUAUGCGGUCAACAGAGCUCGGUCCCUACUUGUGGUAACAUCCGUGGAACUGUCGUUGCUAUUGAGGUCCCUUCGAGUCUUGCGUGCUGUACUUCGGUAUGGUGUGCUUUGAUGAGGGGGGGGUACCCUCUUCGGUCACUAUUCAACAAUUAACUCAGAACUGGCACGGACCCGGGGAAUCCGACUGUCUAAUUAAAACAAAGCUUUGCGAAGGCCCGAAAGGGUGUUGACGCAAAGUGAUUUCUGCCCAGUGCCAAGAAUGUUACCACGAAGAAAUUCGAAAAAGCUCUGGUAAACGGCGGGAGUAACUAUGACUCUCUUAAGGUAACCAAAUGCCUCGUCAUCUAAUUAGUGACGCGCAUGAAUGGAUUAACGAGAUUCCCACUGUCCCUAUCUACUAUCUAGCGAAACCACUGCCAAGGGAACGGGCUUGGAAAAAUCAGCGGGGAAAGAAGACCCUAUUGAGUUUGACUCUAGUCUGGCAUUGUAAGGAGACAUGAGAGGUGUAGCAUAAGUGGGAGAAUGCAACAGUGAAAUACCACUACUUUCAUUGUUUCUUUACUUAUUCGAUGAAGCGGAGAACGGCGUUUCUUUUAGAGCUUCGCUACGCUUUUUUAGCUUUAAACGUGCGGGCGGUGCUCGAAUGGGCGGGUCGGGUGGUCUCCGGGGGGCCUCUCAGGAAGGUGCCAAUUUGUUACCCGAGCGUGAUCCGAUUCGAAGACACUGCCAGGCGGGGAGUUUGACUGGGGCGGUACAUCUGUCAAAGAAUAACGCAGGUGUCCUAAGGCCAGCUCAGUGAGGACAGAAACCUCGCGUAGAGCAAAAGGGCAAAAGCUGGCUUGAUCCCGAUGUUCAGUACGCAUAGGGACUGCGAAAGCACGGCCUAUCGAUCCUUUUGGCAUCUAGAGUUUAGAGCAAGAGGUGUCAGAAAAAUUACCAUAGGGAUAACUGGCUUGUGGCGGCCAAGCGUUCAUAGCGACGUCGCUUUUUGAUC
rnacentral:rRNA from 1 species